CGGAGGAAGGUGGGGAUGACGUCAAGUCAGCAUGGCCUUUAUGUCCAGGGCCACACACGUGCUACAAUGGCGGAUACAAAGCGCUGCAAACCCGCGAGGGUGAGCCAAUCGCAUAAAGUCCGUCUCAGUUCGGAUUGUAGGCUGCAGAAAAGACUGCAUGAAGUUGGAAUCGCUAGUAAUCGCGGAUCAGCAUGCCGCGGUGAAUACGUUCCCGGGCCUUGUCCUCACCGCCCGUCACAUCACGAAAGCUGGCUGUACUAGACGUUGUUCACUAACCCGCAAGGGAGGUCCAUUCCUAAGGUAU
rnacentral:rRNA from 1 species